AACGUAGGACACAAGCGUUAUCCGGAAUUACUGGGCGUAAAGGGAGUGCAGGCGGUUGCGUAAGUUAGGCGUGAAAGACUUCGGCUAAACCGGGGGAGGUCGUCUGAUACUGCGUAACUAGAGUGUGGUAGAGGCGUGUAGAAUUCCGGGUGUAGCGGUGGAAUGCGUAGAGAUCCGGAAGAACACCAGUGGCGAAGGCGGUCUGCUGGGCAGUUGCUGACACUGAGGCGCGACAGCGUGGGGAGCAAACAGG
rnacentral:rRNA from 1 species